rnacentral:lncRNA from 1 species
CAAAGAUACAAUUGAUAACUGGGUUGCACUUUAUUUUACAGUACGUGUAAAAUACACAUGAAUUUGAGCAUUCUACUAUAUAUGCUUUUCUCCUGCAGCGUGAACUUAUCAGAAUAGUUAUAGUUGUUUCUCUGAUGGCCAUUGGAGGGCAUCAUCACACAGAUGCUGAUGAAAAGUUUGUUGUGACCCCAUGAGCUUUAAACCAAGGGGGAAAGUAAUUGGACAUGCAAGUAACAUCUAAAAUUGUAUUGUCAUUGCAUUAGUUAAAAUAUUGAAGCAUGUUGUAGAAAGAUAGCACACAUACAUUUUUCAAACAAAAUAUUUUACAAAAAGACAAUUGUUACAUGUCAGUUUGUGGCAUGUAUUUUCUGUUAUCCUAAGUUUAUAUGCAACGACAGCUAGAAGUCAUAAGCCAUUCAUAGGUUUAUUUCCCUUGUCUUGAUGUGUCUCUGUGGUGCUUUCAACACACAAUCCCAAACCUGAGCUGUAACGUCAAAUGCAGCAGACAAGGGAGUAGAAAAUGGACAUUCAUGCUGUUUAGGGCUCUCUAAAAAUGGUAUAACAUCUAAAAUUAAAAGGAUCAUACAAUUUUUAUUUAUUUAUACAUGUAUGUUGUUGUAAAAAGGACAGACCAGACAGAUCAGCAAAACCUUGAUUUACCAAGACUUCUCUACAGAUGCCAGAUGGAGCAAUCUAUGCAAAACCUGUUUGAAAACAGUUAUUUUCUGUGCAAUUUUCUGUGAUAACGACAGCUUUCCUCUUCAAGAUCAUUUCCUCAUCUAAUUGCUCAGCAUUUUCUCUUUCCUUAGCUUUUGUGGUCUUCCUGUCACCUCUCUCUCUUUCCUUUAAAACUCUGCAGCCCCUUUUUUUCAUUUGUAUCACCAGGUCAAUGGUCAAGACAUGCAGGAGGUCAGCCACCAUGAGGCUGUCAGCGUCUUGAGGAAUGCUGGGAGCUGCAUAAAAAUGAAAGUGCUGCGGGAGAGAUGCUUGCCCGUGGAGCCGUGGAUCCACGAGAGCUUUGACACCAUGGAGACAGCAGACCUCCAGGUCAGCCAGGAGUGGGAUGUCACCAUGAGCAAUAACAGAUCAAGUGGCCCACAAUCCUCCACUGAUCCCACAAUGGACUGCAGCCCACUGGCCAUCAGGACGGAAGCUACAGUCUGCAAUGGACAUGGACUGAAUGAUCAGGUACAGGAUUUACAGCUAACGAAAGACACAGCGAGCUUCAAAAAUACUGCCCAACAGGUUGUGAAAAAUACCAUGGCGGUAGGUGUGGAAGACAGAAUCUGUUUCUGUGCCCUAUUGUGUGGAUGUGUGUGUUUUAACAAUUAAAUCUCAGGAAUGCUUUUUAUCAUUGUUCUCAAAAAAAUUAGGAAACUGAAAUUGAAACAUAAACAAUUUAUAUAUACGGAGACUUAUUUUCAAUGUGACCCUUUGACAGAUUCCUCGGAUUAUUCUGACUCACCCCUCUACCGAUGAAGAGGUGGAGCCCCUGACGCAGGGCUUAGAUGAUGGAGAUUUUGAUUCAGACUUCAGCGAAUCAGACGGUCACAUCUACUCGGACUGUCUGAACAGCACUUUCUAUCCUCUGUGAAAGACAGAGCAGCACACCAGCUUCAGGUUCUUCAUCUCUUUUCAUGCUAUUCAUUUAGUUUGUCACUUUUUUUUUUUUUUUUUUUCCAAGAUAAUUAUACUUCAUUAAGAGCUUGUUUAUUAGCAUGAGCAUGUACAGGAUGUGGCUUUAUUCAUCCGCAGGUGUUAACAUGCUAAAUAGAUCUCAGAUUUGCAUGGAUGCGCUAGCAGUAGACUACAUAAUUGAUCAGGAUAUGCACUGAGGUGUUAUUCAUUAUAUUUACACAACACAAAUAGUCACUGUCACCUGAGAAUUAAAAACCGAGAUGAGCAGUCGAACUGUAGAUUCCUAUCAGGUAGCUGCCAGACUCCAGUCAAUUUUGCAGGUACUUUUUUUUUGUGCAUUACAACGAUAACAAAUGUUUUUGUUUUUUUUUCUUCAGAAAAUAAGUUCUUGGUUUAAUACCCUCUCUCUCUUUGUGAAUUCAGAUGUGCCUGCGUCCUCUGGUUAAGUGAAAUUGUUCUGGCUGUGGUCCACAAUCACUGGAGCAGAAAAUGAGUGACAUGGGAUCGAUACUUCAAGCAAAAUCCACAGUCCCAUGAUGCUUGCAUCCCUAAGAAAAAAUGUACUGUUUAGUACACCAAUGUAUGAAACAGAUACAGAGAAAGUGGAAAGUAAAUAGAUAAUAUUUUUCUAAAAUGUUGCUUCUUACUUACAAACCUUACUUGCGUUGUGAAUGCUUUUAAAUGUUUUUACUUGCAUCGUUUAUCAGUUGCCAAAAGUGAUAUAAACGUAAAAAGUUUUGCUGGUGAGGUGUGUAUUUGUAUGAAUAAUAUCUCUGAAGUGUAGUGAUGUUGUGAAUAUUUUGUCGUGGAUAUCUGACCCAGCAGCACAGGAGACACCUGAACCACUGUGAAGGUAAGGGAAGGUUCUGUGAUGGUAAAUUUAACAGAUACUGACAUCAAGUGAGUGGUUAAUUUGUAUCCUUGUUUAAAGCUAAAAGAAAGAAUAAGACCUAAAAUCCUAUUUACAGUCCAUGAAUACAGGGGGACACUCAUUAAUGGAUCUUUUCUGAAACAGCAAGUGACAGAUGCAGUAAGUGAGGGUUUAAAACAAACCAAAAAAGGGAGGCGGUGCUUUUAUUAACAGUUUUUUUUUUUUUGUCCUUUUCUUAGUAAUAUUCAACAAUACUAUUUUAUACUCUUGUAAAGGUGAUCCCCACUAUGAUUCCUAUAUUUUUUUCAUGAAAUAAUAAUUAUAAUAAUUAUUGUUAUUAUUAAUUAUUAUUAUAAUUAUAAUAUAUUUAUAUCAGCUAGUUCAGUGGUUCCCAAAUUCCAGUCCUUGCGCCACUUGCUCUGCACAUUUGGUAUGUUUCUCUUUGUAUGUUUGUUCUAUUCAAACAUAAGUGCCCUGCGAAGUCGACAUCACAGGAUAUUCCGACAUGAUUCCAGUUCGAAGUGAAUGUAUAUGUUCCAUUCAGUGCAUUGAAGUGUGAGAGAUGUAAAUUUAAAUUGUAUUUUUUUUUACAGAGAUAUAUGAUCUCAGACUUGUCCGUGUAGGAACACGUUGCGCAGCACAAAUCAGUGAAUGAAUGUUCCAAAGUAAAGUAAACUUCAACAGAUUUCCCCUGCUCAGUGAGUAGGGAGCAAUAAACACUGUGUAGGGACCAUGUCAAUCAGAACACAGUUCAUGCACAGAGCUCACUUCAAAGAGAGACAUACAAAAUUUGCAGAGAAGGGGGUUGCGAGGACUGGAAUUGAGAAUUUUUUAAAAAAAAGUUGUGUCUUCUCAAUUGUGUUACUUUCUGCAAAAAAUAAAUAAAAUCUCUAUGAAGAAUUUAAGUCAGGUUUCAGGCCCCAUCCCAGCACAGAAACUGCACUUGUUAAAAUUACAAAUGACUUCUUGCCUCAGACCAAGGCUGCACCUCAUUGCUAGUUUUACUUAGUUCUGCGUUCGACACUAUAGAUCAUGACAAACUCAUAGAGCGAUUAAAAAACUACACAGGUAUUCAAAGGCAGGCUUUAAGAAGGUUUAGAUCCUACCUGUCCAAUUGCUACCACUUUGUUUAUUUAAAUGGGGAGUCGUCUCAUUUAUCACCUGCAAAAUAUGGAGUUCCACAAGGAUCUCUCCUAGGUCUUCUGCUAUUUUCAACAUGUUGCCACUGCUAUGAUGAUGAUACUCAACUAUAUAUCUCAAUGAGACCAGAUGAAACUUCUAAAUUAUCUAAGCUAACAGAGUGUGUUAAAAAUGUAAAAGAUAGCAUGAUCAAUAAUUUUCUCCUAUUAAAUUGGGAUAAGACAGCGAUAUUAUUUAUUGGACCAAAAAAAAAAAAAACAGUACACAGAAUAUGUUGGAUUACAAUUUGCAACUAGACGUAUGUACUGUUACUUCCUCUAAAGUAAAAAAAAUCUAGGUGUUAUAUUAUACAACAACUUGUAUUUUGAAAAUCUUCUGUCUUUCGGAUGAGACAUUAAACCGAGGUCCUGACUCUCUGUGGUCAUUAAAAAUCCCAUGGCACUUCUCAUAACAAGUAUGAGUGUAACGCCGGUGUCCUGGCCAAAUUGCCCCCUUGGCCUUUGUCAAUCAUAGCCUCCUAAUAAUCACUUGAUUGGCUCUGUCUCUCUCUCCUCUCCACCUGUAGCUGGUGUAUGGAGAGCGCACUGGCACCAUUGUCCUGUGGCAAUGCCAUGCAAUUCCAUUGCAUCAUCCAAGUGGAUGCUGCAUACUGGUGGUGGUUGAAGAGAGACCCCCCCACAUGAUUCUAAAGCGCUUUGGGUAUACAACAAUUCCCAAUAAAGCGCUAUACAAAUGCAUCAUUCAUUCAUUCAUUCAUAGAAACAUUUCUAAGCUACAAAACAUGUUAUCUGUUUCUGAUGCAGAAACGCAAGUUCAUGCAUUCAUGAACUCUGGACUGGACUAUUGUAAUGCACUGCUAGUUGAUUGUCCUGCAUCUUCAAUAAACAAGUUACAGAUAGUCCAAAAUGCAGCAGCUAGAGUCCUUACGAGGUAAAGAAAAUAUGAUCAUAUUACCCCAAUUUUAAAGUCUCUGCACUGGCUAGCUAUUAAGUUCCAUUUCAGUUACGUCCCUUAAUGGUUCAGCUCCUGCGUACCUAACUAGUCUUCUACCACGCUACAAUCCAUCAUGCUCCCAAACUCUAGAAAAGCCUUCCUUAUAACAUUUGGAGUUCAGACACACUCUCUCUGUUUAAAUCUAUAUUAAAGACUCAUCUCUUUGGCCAGACAUUCAAAUAAUGCAUCUCACAAUCUUGGAACACCCAUGUCAUUAUACAGAGUUGUGUCCUGAUGUGUCACAAAAACAAGAGCACACACACACACACGCACACACACACACGCACGCGCGCGCGCACACACACACACGCACACACAUACAAGCUAAUUGUAAUGCAAAAAUGUAUAAUACAUAGAUGUGUUAUUCAAAUUGUAAAGUAUGUGUAUACAUAAUGGUAGUGAUUGUUGUGCUGCCCUAAGAUACUACUGUUUAUAAUGAGAAAAAGGUUUAGGCUAUUUUAGGGUAAAUUGUGACCUGGACAUGUUUUCAUGAGAUUCAUUCUGGUGUACCUUCUAAUAUGAAUACAUAUAUUAAAGAGAGAUAUAGAGAGAGGACACAAAGCAUUCAAUAGUUUAUCUAUGCGCUUACACCUACAACUUUCAUAGGUCAUAUGGGUGUGAAGUAUUAUCUCUUCACUGUCUGUGUGAGUCAUGGCUGUGUUUAGGCUGUUGUUAAUUUUGUAUUUAGCAUGCUAAUCUUACAGGAUGAUAUGCAGAGGACAGGUCACACUGUGACCACAGGGGAAAUAACAGCAUUAUUUUCCACGCUGUCAAUCUGCCGCUCAUGAAAACACAC